rnacentral:tRNA from 1 species
GCGAAGGUGGCGGAAUUGGUAGACGCCUAGCUUCAGGUGUUAGUGUCCUUACGGACGUGGGGGUUCAAGUCCCCCCCCUCGCACCA